rnacentral:lncRNA from 1 species
GAAUGAAUGCUCCUACUAUUUGAAAACGGGGCAAUACAAAUUUGGCAUAACCUGUAAAUUCCAUCACCCACAGCCUGCUGGAACAACAAUACCGGCUUCUGCACCCCAAUUUUAUCCGUCGGUGCAGUCUCCUGUUCCUUUGGCAGAACAGUAGGGGGGGGGGGCAUCCACCAGUUUGAGGGUGGCUAGGCUUCCACUAUUAACUGGAUCAUAUGUGCAAGGGACUUACGGUCCUGUCUUGAUUCCUCCUGGAGUUGUUCCGAUUCCGGGUUGGAGUCCGUAUUCGGUAUGAUAAAGACAUAUUCAGGUUGAUAUAUGAUUGAAGUUCAUUACUAAUAGUAAUAUGUUAUUACUUGGUGCACGCACCUCUUAGUCCUGUACUAUCUCCUGGAGCUCAACCCACAGUUGGAGCAACUUCUUUAUAUGGAAUAACACAGCUAUCUUCUCCAACACACGGACUUGCAAGCCCUUAUACCUCCAUAACCUCUUCUGUUGGUCCUUCUAGCAGCAACCCGAGUGGACAAGUUUUCCCAGAGAGGCCUGGCGAACUUGAAUGCCAGUAUUAUCUGAAAACUGGGGACUGUAAACAUGGAUCAUCUUGUAGGUAUCAUCAUCCUCGGGAUUGAACUGUACCGAGAAUAACUUGUCUCCUUAGUCCGAUCGAUGGGUCUCCCACUCCGUCCGGUAUGCAAAGUUGUUUUAUAUUACUUUUGAUGAAUCUUUAAUUUUUUUUUUUUUUAAAUUCCGCUGUUAGAAGUUAUCUAGUUCGUCACUUGGUUAUCCAAUUUGGAAGACCCAAGAGUUGUUUUUCUUUUACUCGAUUAAACAGUAAUCUUUUUCCAAAAGCGGAUUGUGGUAUGCUACUAUCACAUCUAAAGGUAUACCUGGUUGACCUCCUUAAUUAGGUGGCAAAGAAAAGGCUGUCAUACUAUGUUUAUGGGUUGAGCAAACAUGUUUUUCAUUUUGAUGGUUCUGCAGUAUAGGUAGGUGUGUUUGUUUACUUUGGUCUCGUUAGCAGUCUUCUUUUAUUAAGGUUAUUUUUUGUGCAAGAAUCUUUGGCAUUGAGUUGUGAAGAAGUUAGUGCUCAGCGUUGUAUAAAUCUGAUUGGUGAUUGAUGUAAUUUAAGGAGACAUUUUGAUAUUUAAUGGGCAUCAACCAACAGGGGCUCAAUAGGGUGGCUGAGGCACAUGGGAUUGUGCCGUGUGGUCUCAGGUUCGAAACCCAAAGGUACCUAUCCAGAUUUGCUACUGUCUCAUGCCCCCAAAUAUUGUAGGGUUGUACGGUGGGCCCGAGUUUAGAACAUGUGUCAAUGAACAUCAGUAGUUGUAUGGUUAAUGUAGGAAUAAUGUUUAUGUGUAAUGUGCUCAAUAUAGGAAUCAGAUGACACGGCAACACAUUAUAAGUUGUAACUCGAAAAACAAAUUUGCCUCUGGUUGCUGAAAAACCUUAUGAAAUGGUUAUCUAUCCAAAAGGUCCUUUAGAAUAAAGGAGCAAGAUGACAGAAGGUUCCUUGACUGGAAAACCUUUGCUGCAGUCCUGAAACAAAAUAAUCUAUGCUGUGUAUGCCCUUCCAAUGAUAUAUACGUAUCUUCGCUUGAGUUUUGUCCUUUGGUCAGCAGCAGCAGUCUCUCAUUUAUCAUACUGAAAUUACAAAGUAAUGGAAACAAUACAUUGUGUCUAUUCUUCACUAUCAUAUUUGUGAGCUGAUAGACCUUUAUACAGAGAAACUAUAUCUUCUUUGCUAGGCCAAGAAAUGUGAAAGUAGGCAGCACAUCUUCAACAUUUGUUGGUCGACAAUAAUUCAACAUUUGUUGACUGAUAAAAACUUUAACAUUUGUUGGCUGACAAGAAAUGAUGUACUGUGCAUAUUUCUUCAGGUGGGUCAUCCACUUUUAUAAUAAUGUACAAUUAUUAAUUACGCAAGGAUGAGGAUCGAUGAAUAAAUAAGUACUGAAGAUGCCAAGCAAAUUACAGCACAACGUGAAGGACCCGGCAUUAAAAGGAAAAGAAUCUCCUCCGGAUCUCUUACGCGGGGAUUUUAAGGAUCCUCACAUCUCAGUUGUUUAUUGUGUAUCGUGCAGUUAUAAAUCAAUUGAUUUUUAUUAUUUAAAAUUAAACACAAAUAGUACCUGAUAAAAACUGACCACACGAUAUAUAAUAAACAGCUAAGAUGUGGGGAUAUUUAGAAUCUCCACGUAAUGGAUCCGGAGGGAUCCCUUUCCGCAUUAAAAAUCAACUUUCAAUUAUUAAGGCCGGCAGUAAUAUAUUCACCAGUCUUUGUUUAUAUUUUAUACAUGAAAUGAUGUGUGAGUGGUUGGAUGAGAGAAGGGUUUAUAAAGACGAGCAGGGGGAGGCAUCUUUCACUACUUUAAUUCACUUCACUUGUAUAUUUACUUGUCCUGAAUACAAGAAAUGGCGGAAGGAGUUCUAUUCAACGUUGCAGCACAGAUCAUCGGAAGGCUAGGCUCCCUUGCUUUCCAAGAGAUCGGAUUGAUUUGGGGUGUCCAAGAUGAGCUCCACAAGCUCCAGGAGAUUGUUGCCGGAUUCCAAGGUGUUCUUCUUGACGUUGAGCAAAAGCAAACCAACAAUGAAGUCAAACUAUGGCUCGAAAGCGUAGAAGAUGCAGUAUGAAGCCGAUGACCUGCUGGAUGAGUUUAAUACUGAAGCUCAGCAGAGACAAAUGAUGUGUGGCAAUACUAAGAUGUCAAGGAAGGUACGCCUCUUCUUCUCUAGCUCAAAUCAACUUGCUUUUCGGCUAAAGAUGGGUCAUAAGAUAAAAGAUAUUAACAAGAGGCUUCGUGAGGUUGCAUCUCGUAGAGCCUUUCCCUUAGAAGUAAAUCGUGAAGAUACACGAUUUAUAAUUAGAGAGAGGAUCACUCACUCAUUUGUCCCUAAGGAAAAUGUUAUAGGGAGAGAUGCAGAUAAAAAGGCAAUUAUUCAACUUUUGUUGGAUCCCAUCUCAACUGAGAAUGUGUCAACCAUUUCCAUAGUUGGAUUUGGAGGAUUGGGGAAAACUGCUCUUGCCCAACUCAUAUUCAACGAUGAGGUGAUUCAAAAUCAUUUUGAGUUGAAAAUAUGGUCAUGUAUCUCUAAUGUAUUUGAGUUGGAUAUAGUCGUUAAGAAAAUACUAAAAGUUGACAAGAUUGAUAUGGAUGAGCUGCAAAAUGAUCUUAGAAGAAAAGUAGGUGGAAAGAAAUACCUAAUUGUGUUGGAUGAUGUGUGGAAUGAGAAUCGGGAGAAAUGGCUUAGCUUGAAGUACUUGUUAAUGGGGGGUGGAAAAGGUAGUAGAAUACUGAUAACCACUCGUAGUGAAACAGUUGCGAAGAUAUCAGACACAGCUAAACCGUACAGCUUAAGGGGUUUGAAUCAAGAGGAAAGUUGGUCUUUAUUUAAGGAAAUGGCUUUUAAAGAUGGAAAAGAGCCAGAGAAUUCAACAAUUAAGGCAAUUGGGAAGGAGGUUGCAAGAAAAUGUCAGGGAGUUCCACUUGCUAUAAGGACAAUAGGUGGGAUGUUGCGCACCAAAUAUCAUGAAACAGAAUGGUUGAAUUUCAAAGAAAAUAAACUUUCAAGAAUAAAUCAGGAUGAAAAUGAAAUUUUACCGACACUUAAACUAAGUUAUGAUGUGCUCCCAUCACAUUUGAAGCAUUGUUUUGCUUACUGUAGCUUGUUCCCACCUGAUUAUGAGAUCUCUAUACCGAUGUUGAUUAGACUUUGGGUGGCGCAAGGGUUCAUUAAGUCAUCCGGUGAAAACGAGAGUUUGGAGGAUGUUGCGUAUGAGUAUUAUAUGGAAUUGUUGUGCAGAUCGUUUUUUCAAGAAGAAGAAAAAGAUGAGUUUGGUAUAAUAACAAGUUGUAAAAUGCACGAUCUCAUGAAUGAACUUGCAAUCUUAGUGUCAGGGGUCGGAAGCACCAUUGUUGAUCUGAACCAAAAGAAAUUUCAUGAAAAGCUUCGUCAUGUAUCUUUCAGUUUUCAGGUUGAUCCGUUGAAAUGGGAAGUGCCAGCUUCCUUGCUAAAAGCAAAAAAGAUACGAACUUUUCUUCUUCCUUGCCAACAGCAUAGAAGUAGUUCAUUAUGUAAUUCAUUUUGCGUUACAAUUAUUUCAAAUUUUAAGUCGUUGCGUAUGUUGAGUCUCAAAGAUUUUGGAAUUUCAAAAUUACCUAUUUGUCUUAAAAAAGUCAAACAUUUGAGAUAUCUUGAUCUUAGUGGUAAUCGCAUCGAGAGACUUCCAGAUUGGAUAGUUGGACUUUCGAAUUUGGAAACACUUGAUCUCUCUUACUGCCAGGAGCUUGUGGAAUUGCCUAGAGACAUCAAAAACAUGAUAAACUUAAGGCAUCUCAUCUUGGAAGGCUGUGAUAAAUUGACUCGAAUGCCACGUGGAUUGGGGGAGCUGACCGGUCUUCGUACAUUGGAUAAAUUUGUUUUAAGCGAAAACAAUUCUUUGUUGAGGGACAGUGCUGGUCUUGGUGAACUGGGAAAGCUUAGGGAAUUAAGGGGACAGUUAGAAAUUAUAAUUUUGAGGCAGGAGAAAGAUGUGAUGUCAGAUUCAAAUGUUGGUACGCCUCUCAAGGAGAAACAGCAUCUCCAUUCAUUGACUUUAAAGUGGAAACGUGGAGAAGAUGUAAACGCAGUUGAUGAGAAGGAUAUUAUAAUGUCAAUUGAAGUGUUGCAACCCCAUUCAAAUCUAAAGAAGUUGUCCGUGUCUCAUUAUGGUGGUGUGACGUUUGCGAGUUGGUUUUCUUCUCUCAUAAAUCUUGUUGAUCUCACAUUGACUGGGUGUCAUAGGUGCCAACAUCUUCCACCCUUGGAUCGUUUCCCAUCCCUUAAGUCUCUUUCUCUUGACGGGUUUGAGAAGUUGGAGUACAUAUCAGACAAUACCACCAGCAGUAAUAGUAUGAGUGAUGAGAUGAUGAAGAUCUCAUUCUUUCCCUCCCUGGAGGAGCUCUCCUUAUUAGGUUGCCCUGUUCUGAAGGGAUGGUGGAGGGCGCACACUCAUAACAAUGCUUCUUCUUCUUCAUCAACGGAAAAUCUGUCGUUGCCUUCUUUUCCCUGUCUUUCUCAAUUGACUAUUGAUGAGUGUCCUAAUCUAACUUCCAUGCCUCUGUAUCCAAAUGUGGAGAGAUUAGAUCUCGAGAGGAGCAGCUGGAAGGUUGUUGAUUCCUUGUUUGUUAGAGGAGCAUCUGAUAUUACACAUGAUGUUGGUGUUGAUGUUUCUGCCUCUUCUUCUUCCCCUCAUCUCUCCAAAUUAACACGUCUGUCACUCAUUAAAAUUGAGGAUUUGGAAUGUCUAACGUCACAAGGAAUGGGCAACGUCCCAUCACUCCAAUCGCUUUACAUUGCCGAUUGCCCAAAUUUGGCAUUACUACCAUAUCAUGGGAUGGGCAACCUCGCAGCCUUUCGGGAGCUUGGAAUUGGAGAUUGCUCCAAUUUGACAUCAAUGUCAGAAGGGAUCGCCAAUCUUACAUCACUUCAGGUGCUUACAAUUGGAAAUUGCUCUGAUCUGACAUUACCGCCGGAAGUGGUCGUCAACCUCCCAUCACUCCAAUCACUUACGAUUAUGUUUUUCCCAAAUUUGGUAUCACUACCGGAAGAAAUAAGCAAUCUCACGUCACUGCAGCACCUUGUACUUAUAUGUUGCCCUAAUUUGGCAUCACUGCCAGAAGGGAUUCGUCGACUCCCCAACUUAAAUGGAUUGAGAAUUAUGAGUUGCCCCAUGUUAAGAGAAAGAUGCGAGGAGGAAAUAGGUGAGGACUGGCCUAAGAUUGCUCACAUCCCAUACAUUAACAUUUGUUAAGGUGCGUUUUCUAACUUGUUUCAAUUUGCACUUGCCAAAUUCAGUAUAAACUCUGAAAUAUUCAAAUGCCAAUAUCGUGUCUUAGUUUUAUUCUUCAUUCUUCAUUCAUCACUAGCAUUUUAUUUUUCUUUUCAGAUGACAUACCAUAUGGUCAAAGAUUUUCUUCACACUUUUGCUUUCUCGUUGACCAACACCGAUUCCACAGCAAAGCGGUAUGCAUUCCUUACCCACUAACUUCAUUUAUUUAUUUAUUUUUUUUCAAAAUGGAACCAACUAGUGACUUUACCACGGCAGUCUACUGUUUUGGAGGUUGCAUUUUAGCCUCUCUACGGCCACCAUCGUGUGGUUCACUAGCACCAAAAAUCGAACAAAGAUGUGCCGUGUAAAAGGCGAAUUUGGAAUUUGUCCCCAACCAUUGAGCCACCCGCAGUGUUUACCUCAAUUUUUUUUUAAUUUCUCUUUAAUUUCCCUACUUGUCUUUUUCAGGUGCUGAAUCCAAAGACGGUUUAGGAGUUUAGAUGGAAUUGAAGCUACCAAGCAACCGGCCAGAUGACAAUUUGUACGGACUUCUUCAACUCAAUUAUUAUGUUGCACAACCGUGUCAGUUUUCGGCAAUUUCCAAACUACAUAAUAAGGCUUUCAAACUUUUCUGGUUCAGGUUUUGCUUCUUAAUUUACUUUCAUGGAUAUGUAGUACUGACUCAAAGAAGAAACACAUGGGAUGAAGGAAGCGAAUAACCAUACAGCUUUUGCUUAUACAUGUGCCUCAUUUCUGCGGAUGUGAUAAAUGGAGGACUGGUUUGAGUUUCCACCAUAAAACUAACUGACAAUAUGGAAAGUAGCCGCCCAUGCAAGGUCCCUCUUCAUAUUUUUCUUUGUUGGUUUGCUUGAAUUGUUAUUUAGUGUGCUUGUUCUGUACCUUGUUUCUUCCAUUAAUAUCUCACUAGAAAGAGCUCUAAAUUGAGUUUUGAACUGUGUAGUUGGAUGGUCGUGUAUUUUAUACACAAUGUUCGUGUUGAGCUUCAACAGCGGAUCAAAUAUCUCAGUGUUGCAUGGAAGCAUGAGAGGACAUCUUCAAAUCUGCAGCAGAUCAAAUUUACUCUUGCUCCGAGCAAACAGUGAGUACUAUACUAAUUAAUAUUUCACUAAAAAUUGCCCAUUUAUAUGUUAAAUUGUUAAAUUUGUGAUUAAACUGAGUAACUUUGAGAUACCAAGAUUAAGUAAAUUCACUGCUUCUUGUUUUCCAGAUUCAGACGAAAGAUGGCUACUUACUGGGUUUGGAAUGUGAAGGACUAAUAGAAGUCGUGUUUGUUAGUGCAAUUUCUGUUUGGUUUGAGAUGUGAAGGACUAAUGAGAUUGCUUUGGUGUGGAGUGUUAAUUUCCCCAUAACUGAUCUGUGAGUAAAAUAUUGAAUCUCUCGACGCCUGAUUAGUGAAAAGCCUUACUUUUAUAGCUCCUUCCGAUUUUUUUCAACAUACCACUAAGUCGAUUGUUUCAGAAUUUGAAUAUAUAGCUCACUAUAUGGUGCUCCCUGAUCUGAAGUUUUCAGUUUUUGUGGAAUUUUAUUUUCUUGAAACUAACUAUUGGGUAAAGUGAUGAACAUCCAUGGGAUACAUUUUAAAUUAGGCUCUAAUGUGCUUCAAACUCAAUUGAACUUGGUUACCAGCUUUUCCUGAUCUUAACCAUUUGAUGCAUGGUUCUUAAAUUCUUGAGAAGAAUAACUGGGAUUUGUCCUUGCAGAUGAAGGUUUCGAGGCAUGUGUAGGGAAUGUGCGUGGAACACGAAGGGGUCAUGGACACACAUCUUUAUCAGAAAAGACAGAAAUGAUGCGCUGCAUAUAUCGACAACAAGCUCCAAAGUCUUUGCUGUUGGACAUUCACAGGUUUUGCACCUCUUCAUCUACUUCACAUCUCCUUCCGUUGCUGCUACUUUUGGUGUUUACUCAAUUUAUUCAUGUUAUUAGGGAACAAUCAUGCCUUUAGCUGCUCUCACCCAGCCGGACAUAGCAGAACUGGUUGAAUCUGCCUGGUCUUUUCUGUCCAAUAUCAUACUUGGAGCAUAUCACUUCUAAAUUUGCACUUAGAAUGGUCAACAUAUAUGUUGAUCAGGUAUUCCUUAUCUUCUUCAAAGUAUACCGCAUGAUUGGCUUCUCUAAUAGAAUUGAUGCAUCUGUUCAUCUUUUCAGAUGAUUCUGUUCAACUUUUGGAUUCAAUCUCUGAUGGCCAUGUUGACUGCCCAGAGUGGUUGUAUAUGUUUUUGCUUUUGAUCGACGGGUUUAGGUACUAUGUUCCUCCGUUGUAUGUUUUUCUACAAGUAAUAUAAUAUGGGCGUGAGGGUCUAGCCCCCCAGCUUUGACUGGGUUCCAGCCCUCUUUAAAUAUUUCUUUUAAAUAUCUGUUGGUAAAAAAAGACAAAUUUUGAAUGUUUGCCCCAGGCACCAAAAAAACGUCAGGACCAGCGUUGUGGUUUGGCCUUCUUUGGGCUGCUUUUGUUUUCAGUUUCAGUAGAAUAAAAUUAUGGUGAUACCAUUAAUACAAAUUAACUAUAACCAAACCCCACAUGGCUUGGGAACACAAAAGUAGCGAAAAAGAAAAGGAAAGGAAACUAACCAACAACUUUAAUUUACGGAUUGAGAUCCACUCCUGAUCUUUGUGUCUGAUGUUCAUAGAUUAGGAGAUUUGUACUACUCAAUUUUAAUCUACAGUCCCUAUAUUUUAAUAAUCCAUUUCACAAAAACCUAAAAACUUAAAUGGCUCACAUCUCAUUCUCUCUCUUAAAUGGUCCAACUCUCUCGGUUUGUGGGCUCCGGACAGAGAUGUGUAGGGGAUGUCAUUUCAUAAUUUGGUUUGGUGAGAUGAGAAUGUUCACACGUAGUGUUGCUUUUUCCAAAUUUUCAAUUUUUAGUGCCGUUGGUUGACCAAGUUCUUACUCCAACUUGGAAGGUGUGUGCGUUGAUCACUUCUGUGAGAGAGACUGAUGUAGAAGGCACUUUUGCUCGUAUGAUCAAUUGUUUGGACUCGAAUGUUCAAUAAAUGGCAAGAGAUUAAGGGCUACCUUGGGCUUUUCUUUUGGAACUUGACGAGUUCGACCACUCAACCUUUGGCGUCAAUCUUAAAUAUUUGGGUUUAAGUCGGAAAACAUGUGACCCAAACCUAAGUCCCAAACCCAAAAAAUUUGGAUUCCAAACACAAAAUAUUUGGGUUUGGACACAAAUCAAAACCUAAAUUUGGGUUCAGAUUUGGCUGACCCAAAUUUGGAGUGGGUUCUAUUUUUUAUUAAGUUGCUGAAUUUAAAACUUAGGGGCUGACAGUUGGACCACGCGUGGCAGGGACCUAGUUGUCUAACGGUAACCUUGGGUUUAAAUCCGGACCUUUUGAUUUCUGGACAGUUGGUUAUCUAAGGUCCAGAUCAAACUCAUUUCCUUUGUUUGCGCAAUCUUUUGAAAUUGGUCAUAGUGCAUAUUUACUCUUGUCAAAUCCAAUGGUAAAAAAAAAUUUAGCGGCCGAAAUUUAAAUCAAAUGAUUAAAAAAAAAAAUUCUAAACUAAUCCACUUUAGUAAUCAUUCCAAACCCUAUAAAUAUUCAUUCAUUUGUUCACUCAUCUACACAAAAUAAAUUUCUUCCUCGUAUAAUUUUCAUGUCCUUCUUUCGGAUCCACACCCCCCCCCACCCCCAAUUUUUUUAUGAAGAUGUCUGCAGGAGAAAAUGCAAGAGGUCCAAAAUUAGAAGAAAAAAAAUUGUGAAGCUUUCUGUGUGGCUUGGUGUUGCAAUUUCUCAUGUUGCAAUUUCUCAAAUGAAAAUUUAUUGGGACUUAUAUUGAAUUUUAAUGUGUCUCACAACCUGAAGAAAUUGGGAGGGGUUGUAUAUGAUUUUGCUUUUAAUCGACGGGUUUAGGUACCAUGUCCCCCCGUUGUAUGUUUUUCUUCAAGUAAUAUAAUAUGUGCGUGAAGGCCUAGUCGCCCAAAUUUGACUGGGUUCCAACCCUCUGUAAAUAUAUAUUUUUUAUUAUAUGUUGGUGUAUUAAAAAAAGUACACUUUGAAUGUUCGUCCCGAGCACCAAAAUACUCAGGACUGGCCUUGUAGUUUGGCCUUCUUUGGGUUGCUUUUAUUUCUAGUUGUAGUAGAAUUAAAAUGUGGUGAUACCAGUAAUGUAAAUUAAUUGUAUUGUAACCAAAUACCACGUGUGGGAAAAAGGAAAAGGAAAAGGAAAAAGAAAAGGAAAAGGAACCAACCAACUACAAUUACUUGGGGAUUGAGAUCCACUCGUUAUCUUUGUGUUCGAUGUUCGUCAAUUAAGAGAUUCGGACAAUUCAAUUUUAAUUUACAAUUCUUACAUUUCAGUGCAUUACCUCCCAAAAACCUAAAAACUUGAACUAGUAUCUUACUCUCUCUUGAAUGGUCCAAAUCUCUUGGUUUGCGGCCACAUUGUACAUUCGGCCUGCAAAAUGGUCAGUGCAAGUUUGGAUCUACAUGCAAAUUUGACCAUCCAGUGCAGACCAUGAGGUACAACCUCUCAGCUUCAUCUCCCGUUGAUAUGCCUGUUGUUCAAUAUCCGGUUGGGUCUCUGCUGGCCACCCUGGCUCCAUCAUCCUCAUCAUCGGAUCUCCGGCCUCCAAGGUACUCCUUUACUUGCUCGGCGUUUUAAUUUCGCUUCGUUUGAGCUCGAUUUGGGCUAAUUUCGUAAUCUGGGGUUUCUUGGGUUUUGUGUUUGGUUUGGUAAUGUGGGGUUGUGAUUGGGGUUUUGUUCUGGUUUGGGGGUGAAUUGUAGAUCAAAUGUGGCCAUUGGGGCUGACGAGCAGCGAAUCGUACCCGGAGAGACCCGGCGUGCCCAACUGUGUCUACUACAUGCGAACCGGGUUCUGUGGAUACGGUGGUCGGUGCCGGUACAACCAUCCUCGUGAUCGUGCUGCUGUAAGUCCUUGUUCGUUGUAAACUUGCAUUGCAAUCAGUUAAUGAGCUUUUUCGAUACUGCUUAAUUGCGGGUUUUGAUAUGUAAACUAGUACUCAAGCUUUCGGUGAUAGGUGACUGCAACAGGAUAUAUAGGUUGUUUUGAAUUUUCGUAGGUUUGAGUGUUUUGUUGCAGGUAGUUUUUUGUCCCUUUACCUGAAACUAGAUGAUUGUUUGUUUGCUGAGAAAGCUGGGGAAAAGAAAUGGGAACUUUUUUUGAAAUUUAUUCGACAUAGUUAAACUAGUCUAUAUUUGAUGAAAUAUUAGGCCUAAUAUUUGUGUUUUGGGCUCGGUGCAGUGGGAAAUGUCGUCUUUACAACUGCUUGGAUUUUAUUGGUAACUGAAAUCGUCUUUUCUUGUGAAUUUUGUUACCUUUUGUUUAUGAUUUCGGUUUGAUGCUGCACGUAGGUCGUGGCAGCUAUAAGAGCUACAGGGGAUUACCCAGAGAGAGUGGGGAAACCUGUAUGUCAGGUAUGAAGUAGAUUUCUGAUCUGUUGUCAAACGUGAACUUCCUGCCUGAUAAUGACAAUGUAGAUCUGGAAACUUUUCAGCAACUUUGUUAUGUUGUCCAUUUAUUUGUUUGAGCUUUGAACUUCAUAUGUGAUUGUGGCAUAUAUUUGUCUAAUGUGCAGUAUAUUUACAGACUGGGACCUGUAAAUUUGGUGCGUCCUGCAAAUUCCACCAUCCAAAACAUGGAGCUGGAUCCUUAAACCGAGCUCCCCUAAAUAUUUAUGGAUACCCUCUCAUCUACAUAUGGGUGUGUGUAGACUUUUGUGAAAUUUGUGGAGCAAGUGGCUCACAGUUGUUUUUUUUUUUUUCAAUUAAUUUUAAAUUUUUUUAUAACAGGGCGAGAAUGAAUGCUUCUACUAUUUGAAAACGGGGCAAUGCAAAUUUGGCAUAACCUGUAAAUUCCAUCAUCCACAGCCUGCUGGAACAACAAUACCGGCUUCUGUACCCCAAUUUUAUCCGUUGGUGCAGUCUCCUGUUCCUUUGGCAGAACAGUAUGGGGGGGCAUCCACCAGUUUGAGGGUGGCUAGGCCUCCACUAUUAACUGGAUCAUAUGUGCAAGGGACUUACUGUCCUGUCUUGAUUCCUCCUCCUGGAGUUGUUCCGAUUCAGGGUUGGAGUCCGUAUUCGGUAUGAUAAAGACAUAUUCAGGUUGAUAUAUGAUUGAAGUUCAUUACUAAUAGUAAUAUGUUAUUACUUGGUGCAGGCACCUCUUAGUGCUGUACCAUCUCCUGGAGCUCAACCCACAGUUGGAGCAACUUCUUUAUAUGGAGUAACACAGCUAUCUUCUCCAACACACGGACUUGCAAGCCCUUAUACCUCCAUACCCUCUUCUGUUGGUCCUUCUAGCAGCAACCCGAGUGAACAAGUUUUCCCAGAGAGGCCUGGUGAACUUGAAUGCCAGUAUUAUCUGAAAACUGGGGACUGUAAAUAUGGACCAUCUUGUAGGUAUCAUCAUCCUCGGGAUCGAACUGUACCGAGAAUAACUU